rfam:Ipomoea nil DNA, scaffold: scaffold3056, cultivar: Tokyo-kokei standard.
GGUUGUUUGGUCUAGUGGUAUGAUUCUCGCUUUGGGUGCGAGAGGUCGUGAGUUUAAUUCUCACAACACCCC